rnacentral:rRNA from 1 species
GACGAACGCUGGCGGCGUGCUUAACACAUGCAAGUCGAACGGAAAGGCCCUGCUUUUGUGGGGUGCUCGAGUGGCGAACGGGUGAGUAACACGUGAGUAACCUGCCCUUGACUUUGAGAUAACUUCAGGAAACUGGGGCUAAUACCGGAUAGGAGCUCCUGCUGCAUGGUGGGGGUUGGAAAGUUUCGGCGGUUGGGGAUGGACUCGCGGCUUAUCAGCUUGUUGGUGGGGUAGUGGCUUACCAAGGCUUUGACGGGUAGCCGGCCUGAGAGGGUGACCGGCCACAUUGGGACUGAGAUACGGUCCAGACUCCUACGGGAGGCAGCAGUGGGGAAUAUUGCACAAUGGGCGGAAGCCUGAUGCAGCAACGCCGCGUGCGGGAUGACGGCCUUCGGGUUGUAAACCGCUUUCGCCUGUGACGAAGCGUGAGUGACGGUAAUGGGUAAAGAAGCACCGGCUAACUACGUG